UAAGACGAAGGGGGCUAGCGUUGUUCGGAAUUACUGGGCGUAAAGCGCGCGUAGGCGGCUCUUCAAGUCAGGCGUGAAAGCCCCGGGCUUAACCCGGGAAUAGCGCUUGAUACUGUUGGGCUUGAGUCCGGGAGAGGAUAGUGGAAUUCCCAGUGUAGAGGUGAAAUUCGUAGAUAUUGGGAAGAACACCAGUGGCGAAGGCGGCUAUCUGGACCGGUACUGACGCUGAGGCGCGAAAGCGUGGGGAGCAAACAGGAUUAGAUACCCUGGUAGUCCACGCCGUAAACGAUGAGUGCUAGACGUUGGAGGGCUUGCUCUUCAGUGUCGUAGCUAACGCGAUAAGCACUCCGCCUGGGGAGUACGGCCGCAAGGUUA
rnacentral:rRNA from 1 species